rnacentral:misc_RNA from 1 species
GAUGAAGAACGUAGCGAAAUGCGAUAAGUAAUGUGAAUUGCAGAAUUCAGUGAAUCAUCGAAUCUUUGAACGCACAUUGCGCCCCCUGGUAUUCCGGGGGGCAUGCCUGUCCGAGCGUCAUUACAACCCUCAAGCUCAGCUUGGUGUUGGGCCCCGCCGCCCCGGCGGGCCCUAAAGUCAGUGGCGGUGCCGUCCGGCUCCGAGCGUAGUAAUUCUUCUCGCUCUGGAGGUCCGGUCGUGUGCUCGCCAGCAACCCCCAAUUUUUUUCAGGUUGACCUCGGAUCAGGUAGGGAUACCCGCUGAACUUAAGCAUAUCAAAGCGGAGGA